rnacentral:rRNA from 1 species
UACGUAGGGUCCGAGCGUUGUCCGGAGUUACUGGGCGUAAAGCGCGCGCAGGCGGCGGUGCUGGCCCGGCGUGAAAGCCCCCGGCUCAACCGGGGAGGGUCGUCGGGGACCGCACCGCUUGAGGGCGGUAGGGGCUGGUGGAAUGCCUGGUGUAGUGGUGAAAUGCGUAGAGAUCAGGCGGAACACCCGUGGCGAAGGCGGCCAGCUGGGCCGUCCCUGACGCUGAGGCGCGAAGACGUGGGGAGCGAACGGG